rnacentral:lncRNA from 1 species
AGAGGAAUUUAUUCUUUUGGCAUAAAUUUCCUAGUUUACGUUUAUUUAAAGUCAAGAUAGAAAGUAACUUGUGAGAAAGGGAAUCGCACUUUUCUGUUUAUGGAGUUACACCAUUUCUGGACUUUAAAUUUGGGGCAAGACUUUUCACAUGUUUGAAGAGGUCAAUGAUGUAACUGUCACUUUAAUAGAUGUGUUUUGGACCGCAAAAGGUUCCAUCUUUUUACAAUGUUAAGGUGAUGUAAAUUGAUUCUUUUGGCGUUCCAUAACUUAACAUUGUUGUCUACAACAUUGCUAUUAGAGUGUGUGUUGUGUAGGGCUGUGCAUGGAUCGGAUCGGAUUUUGCACAUUUUGGAUUCUAGAUUCUACAAAAUAAAGAGAAAAUAAGAAAUUA